AGAGCGAACGCUGGCGGCAGGCCUAACACAUGCAAGUCGAGCGCGUGUAGCAAUACACGAGCGGCAGACGGGAGAGUAACACGUGGGAACGCGCCCUUCGGUUCGGAAUAACUCAGGGAAACUUGAGCUAAUACCGGAUACGCCCUUACGGGGAAAGAUUUAUUGCCGAAGGAACGGCCCGCGUCCGAUUAGCUAGUUGGUGAGGUAACGGCUCACCAAGGCGACGAUCGGUAGCUGGUCUGAGAGGAUGACCAGCCUCACUGGGACUGAGACACGGCCCAGACUCCUACGGGAGGCAGCAGUGGGAAUAUUGGACAAUGGGCGCAAGCCUGAUCCAGCCAUGCCGCGUGGAUGAUGAAGGCCUUAGGGUUGUAAAGUCCUUUUAACGGGGAAGAUAAUGACGGUACCCGUAGAAUAAGCCCCGGCUAACUUCGCGCCAGCAGCCGC
rnacentral:rRNA from 1 species